rnacentral:rRNA from 1 species
GUGAGGAAUCUUGCGCAAUGGGGGAAACCCUGACGCAGCAACGCCGCGUGGAUGAUGAAGGCCUUCGGGUCGUAAAAUCCUGUCGAGUGGGAAGAAUCACCGGCCGGUAAAUAAUCGGCCGGCAUGACUGUACCACUGGAGGAAGCCCCGGCUAACUCCGUGCCAGCAGCCGCGGUAAUACGGAGGGGGCGAGCGUUGUUCGGAAUCAUUGGGCGUAAAGGGCGCGUAGGCGGUCGGGUAAGUCGGUUGUGAAAUCCCCUGGCUUAACCAGGGAAGUGCGUCCGAAACUACCUGACUAGAGGCCGGGAGAGGAGAGUGGAAUUCCCAGUGUAGCGGUGAAAUGCGUAGAUAUUGGGAGGAACACCGGUGGCGAAGGCGGCUCUCUGGACCGGUUCUGACGCUGAGGCGCGAAAGCUAGGGGAGCAAACAGGAUUAGAAACCCGUGUAGUCC